rnacentral:rRNA from 1 species
UACGGGGGGGGCAAGCGUUGUUCGGAAUUACUGGGCGUAAAGCGCGCGUAGGCGGCUUUGCAAGUCGGGUGUGAAAUCCCCAGGCUUAACCUGGGAACUGCAUUCGAGACUGCAUUGCUAGAGUAUGGGAGAGGGAAGUGGAAUUUCCGGUGUAGCGGUGAAAUGCGUAGAUAUCGGAAGGAACAUCAGUGGCGAAAGCGGCUUCCUGGACCAGCACCGACGUUCAGGCACGAAAGCGUGGGGAGCAAACAGG